AAAAUAAGCUCAACUGGACACCUUAAUGAGGCAGGGAAUGAACCGAGAGAGAAAGCACGCAGGGCAUUCUACGCCAUUAAAAAGCUAAUUCAAAUUGAAAUACCUAUUCAAAUUUGGCUAAAACUAAUUGAAUAUGUAAUUGAACUGAUUGCACUUUAUGGCAGCGAGGUGUGGGGUCCACUUGCAAAACAGGAUUUCAUCAAAUGGGACAAACACCUCAUUGAAACCUUGCAUGCACAGUUCUGUAAGAUUCUCCUACAUGUCCAGAGGAAAACUACAAACAAUGCAUGCAGGGCAGAAUUAGGGCAAUAUCCACUAAUAAUAAAAACUGAAAAAAGAGCAAUUAAGUUUUGGAAACAUCUAAAAUACAGUGACCCCUUCUCAUAUCAUUACCAAGCCCUGCAAUGCCAAGAGCUGAGCAAAGAAAAGAGUCCCCUCAUCCAGCUGGUCUUGGGGCUGAGUUCACAAACCUGUUCUACUAACACACUGAAGCCUCAGGACCAGAACAUCCAAUCAGUCAGAAUAAACUCAAUUACAACACAGUCAAAACAAAACUACAUUACUUAUUGGGAAACACAAGCACAAACACAAAGCAAAAUGCAGUGCUAUCUGGCCCUAAAUCGACAGUACACCGUGGCUAACUAUUUGACCAUGGUUACUGAUCAAAACCUUAGAAAAACCUUGACAAAGUACAGGCUCAGUGAGCACAGCAUUGCUAUCGAGAAGGGUAGACACAGGAAAACCUGGCUCCCUGUAGAGGAAAGGCUGUGCAACCACUGCACAACAGCAGAACCUGAGACGGAGCUGCAUUUCCUGACAAAAUGUAAAAAAUAUAAAACAAUUAGAGAGUGUCCUUUCCCCAAAUUUGAAACCCUUAUUCAAGGUUUCAAAGACCUCUCUGAUGAGAGUAGGCUACCCGUCCUGUUGGGGGAGGACGCAGAGAGCUGUGGGUUGGCAGCGCACUGCAUUGCUUCCUGCCACAAGUUGAGGGAGAGUGUCUGA
rnacentral:lncRNA from 13 species